CUUUACACAUGCAAGUCGAACGGUAACAGGGAAAAGCUUGCUUUUCUGCUGACGAGUGGCGAACGGGUGAGUAAUACAUCGGAACGUGCCCUGUAGUGGGGGAUAACUACUCGAAAGAGUGGCUAAUACCGCAUACAACCUGAGGGUAAAAGUGGGGGACCGCAAGGCCUCACGCUAUAGGAGCGGCCGAUGGAAGAUUAGGUAGUUGGUAGGGUAAAGGCCUACCAAGCCGACGAUCUUUAGCGGGUCUGAGAGGACGAUCCGCCACACUGGGACUGAGACACGGCCCAGACUCCUACGGGAGGCAGCAGUGGGGAAUUUUGGACAAUGGGGGCAACCCUGAUCCAGCAAUGCCGCGUGAGUGAAGAAGGCCUUCGGGUUGUAAAGCUCUUUUGUUUGGGAAGAAAUCCCUAAGGAUAAUACCCUUGGGGGAUGACGGUACCAAAAGAAUAAGCACCGGCUAACUACGUGCCAGCAGCCGCGGUAAUACGUAGGGUGCAAGCGUUAAUCGGAAUUACUGGGCGUAAAGCGUGCGCAGGCGGUUUUGUAAGACAGGUGUG
rnacentral:rRNA from 1 species